AACAUGGGCUGCUAAUCAAGGAAGAAAUUUUCUUCCUUGAUUUAUGGGAUGGACCCCACAGUGGGACAGUGUGGUAAGUUCAUCUGGGUCAUCAGCAAGAUCUUCAAGUUCUAGAUAUGGUGGAAAAUCCAAUUUGAUUAUGUCUUCUACAAAAUGUUCUCUGUCCGAGGAUGGAGUAGAUGACACAAUGGUGCCUCUGAAGAUCAAAAUCAAGAGAUUACUGAAAGUACGUGUCUAGACAUGGAGUAUAAUUCUGAUCAUGCCUGAGCAAAUAAUCACUUCUGUUAUACAUAUAUGACCGAGAAGAAGGUAGUACAGUGUUUGAGGGGGAUGGUUCAUCAGUGUUCCUUAGUGUUCCUUGGUGACGAGGCAUCUUUCCAGAAGAAAGAGGUGGAAUUAGCCAAAAAAAACUGGUAAGUAUGGAGAUACAAAAGUCUUAAAUCAUUCUUCUGGCAUAUAUUCGCAUUUAUAUGUUUGUGCUAGAACUAGCAAACUCAUGUAUGUUACUGGGACUCGGUGGAAGUUGUAACGACAUGAAUGGCUGAUUCUUUCUAUUGUUUAGAAAACUUACUUGCUGAUUAAGUUUAGCUUACACUUGGAAAUUCAUGUCACUGUCUGCAUGACAAUCUUACGUGCCAUAACUUGCUGUAUUUGAGAGACUAUGAAGAUUAUGCUUACUGUCCUGGAUCCCGCUGUCAUCAAUAACUGAUGAUGCGAAUAAGAGGGA